rnacentral:rRNA from 1 species
AACGCGAAGAACCUUACCCGGCCUUGACAUCUACGGAAUUCUUCAGAGAUGAGGAAGUGCCUUCGGGAACCGUAAGACAGGUGCUGCAUGGCUGUCGUCAGCUCGUGUCGUGAGAUGUUGGGUUAAGUCCCGCAACGAGCGCAACCCUUGUCCUUAGUUGCCAUCAUUCAGUUGGGAACUCUAAGGAGACCGCCGGUGACAAACCGGAGGAAGGUGGGGAUGACGUCAAGUCAUCAUGGCCUUUAUGGCCGGGGCUACACACGUGCUACAAUGGCAGGUACAGAGGGAAGCCAACUCGCGAGAGGGAGCCAAUCCCAGAAAGCCUGUCGUAGUCCGGAUCGGAGUCUGCAACUCGACUCUGUGAAGUCGGAAUCGCUAGUAAUCGCAGAUCAGCAUUGCUGCGGUGAAUACGUUCCCGGGUCUUGUACACACCG